AUUGAACGCUAACGGCGUGCUUAACACAUGCAAGUCGAGCGGCAGCAUGACUGUAGCAAUACAGUUGAUGGCGAGCGGCGGACGGGUGAGUAAUGCAUAGGAAUCUGCCUUGUAGUGGGGGAUAACCCGGGGAAACUCGGGCUAAUACCGCAUAAUCUCUACGGAGCAAAGUGGGGGACCUUCGGGCCCUACGCGAAAAGAUGAGUCUAUGUUGGAUUAGCUAGUUGGUAGGGUAAAGGCCUACCAAGGCAACGAUCCAUAGCUGGUCUGAGAGGAUGAUCAGCCACACUGGGACUGAGACACGGCCCAGACUCCUACGGGAGGCAGCAGUGGGGAAUAUUGGACAAUGGGCGAAAGCCUGAUCCAGCAACGCCGUGUGUGUGAAGAAGGCCUUCGGGUUGUAAAGCACUUUUAGUGGGGAAGAAAAGUUCAUGGCUAAUAUCCAUGAAUGCUGACGUUACCCACAGAAAAAGCACUGGCUAACUCUGUGCCAGCAGCCGCCGUAA
rnacentral:rRNA from 1 species